rnacentral:rRNA from 1 species
UACGUAGGGGGCUAGCGUUGUCCGGAAUCAUUGGGCGUAAAGCGCGUGUAGGCGGUUCGGUAAGUCCGCUGUGAAAGUCGGGGGCUCAACCCUCGGAUGCCGGUGGAUACUGUCGGACUAGAGUACGGAAGAGGCGAGUGGAAUUCCUGGUGUAGCGGUGAAAUGCGCAGAUAUCAGGAGGAACAUCAGUGGCGAAGGCGGCUUUCUGGACCAAUACUGACGAUCAGGUGCGAAAGCGUGGGGAGCAAACAGG